UCCUUGAUAGUAUAGUGGCUAGUAUACGCGCCUGUCAUUAGGCUCGCGCGGGACCCGAGUUCAAUCCUCGGUCAGGGAG
rnacentral:tRNA from 1 species